rnacentral:lncRNA from 1 species
CUGCCAUGGUUGUUUACUCUCAACUUGAAUGAACCUUAUCGAUUUGGAUUGGUGAUCCUCAGAAACCAAUAUUCCCAGAUUUUCAUCUUGAUUAGUACAUAGCUUGGUUUAUCAUCUAGAGACCAGGGAAGUUCACUUUUGUUUGAUUGUCAUCUCCUGCCAUGGUUGUUUACACUGAACUUGAAUAAACCUUAUCGAUUUUGAUAGGAGAUUGGUGAUCCUCGGAAACCGGUAUUCCCGGAUUUUUAUUGUGAUUCAGUAUAGCUUGGUUUGUCAUCUAGAGACUAGGGAAGUUCACUUUUGUUUGAUUGUCAUCUCCUGCCAUGUUUGUUUACUCUAAACUUGAAUGAACCUUUCAAUUUGGAUUGGAGAUCAGUGAUCCUCGGAAACAGAUAUUCCUGAUUUCUCAUCGUGAUUUAGUGUAGCUUCGUUUGGCAUCUAGAGACUAGGAAGUUCACUUUUGUUUGAUUGUCGUCUCCUGCCAUUGUUGUUUACUUGAACUUGAAUGAACCUUAUCAGUUUGGAUAGGAGAAUGGUGAUCUUCAGAUAUUCCUGGAUUUUCAUCGUGAUUUAGUAUAGUUUGGUUUGUCAUCUAGAGACUAGGGAAGUUACUUUUGUUUGAUUAUCAUCUCCUGCCAUGGUUUUAUACUCUCAACUUGAAUGAACCUUAUUGAUUUGGAUAGGAGAUUGGUGAUCCUCGGAAACUGAUAUUCCCGGAUUUUCAUCAUGAUUUAGUAUAGCUUGGUUUGUUAUCUAGAGACUAGGGAAGUUCACUUUUGUUUGAUUAUCAUCUCCUUCCAUGAUACCCUAUAUUUUCUUUGCUCUCAUUGAACAAACCGGUUUUUCCUUGUUUUAUCAUACAGGUUACAUCUAACAUUGGUCAUUACAGCAACUGUCUGUUGUUGGAUGAUGUAAGUUUAUGUUUAGUUUCAUAUAUGUAUGCACAAACACAUACAUAUGUUGUUGGAUGAUGUAAGUUUAUGUUUAGUUUCAUAUAUGUAUGCACAAACACAUACAUACUGUUUAUACAUAUAUAUAUACACACAAACACAUACAUACGUAUUAGAGGGCAUCUUUUGGCUAUGUUGUCAUUUCAACUUUUGUUGGAUGAAGAAUAUAAUGCCAGUGCCUUUUCUACGUAUUUCUGCUGUGAAAACUACUUUUUUGUCGUAGGAUAUAUCUGCAUUGCGGCAUAUUACUAAGUUUUGAUCC